rnacentral:rRNA from 1 species
AUUGAACGCUGGCGGCAGGCCUAACACAUGCAAGUCGAACGAGUGGCGGACGGGUGAGUAAUGUCUGGGAAACUGCCUGAUGGAGGGGGAUAACUACUGGAAACGGUAGCUAAUACCGCAUACCAUCAGAUGUGCCCAGAUGGGAUUAGCUUGUUGGGGGGGUAACGGCUCACCAAGGCGACGAUCCCUAGCUGGUCUGAGAGGAUGACCAGCCACACUGGGACUUAGACACGGGCCAGACUCCUACGGGAGGCAGCAGGGGGUAAUAUUGCACAAUGGGCGCAAGCCUGGUGCAGCCAUUCCUCGUGUAUGAAGAAGGCCUUCGGGUUGUAAAGUACUUUCAGCGGGGAGGCGUUACCCGCAGAAGAAGCACCGGCUAACUCCGGGCCAGCAGCCGCGGUUAUAC